UUGAGAGUAGAGAGACCUCUUGACCUGACUUUUUUUUAUGAAGAAGUUGGAGUUCCGUUGAGAUGACUCAGGCUCGUCCGGCUUAGGUUCCUGGUCGCGGUUCUUCUUGAGUUGGACCUGAUCUUGGUGAACCUCUAAUGGAGACUAAGGCACCAGCGUGAACUUCUUUCCUUUAUGGUCGAAGGAGUGUCGGUUUGUGAAGCCAUCAUGGAUGGCUCUCUUAUCAAACUGCCAUGGACGGCCCAGAAGGAUGUGACAAGCGUCCAUAGGAAGAACGUUGUAAACAACCUCAUCCUCAUAUCGUCCAAUGGUAAGAGGGAU
rnacentral:lncRNA from 1 species